UCCGAAAUGGUGUAGUGGCUAACAUUAUCGCCUCUCACGACGCUGUUGUGAUCGCGAUAGCCCGGGGUUCGAUUCCCCGUUUCGGAA
rnacentral:tRNA from 1 species